UUUUUUUUCUUUUUUGCUUCUCCAUUUUUGGGGGGUUAGGCGCAGCCCGGUGUGGUGGGGCCCCGUAGUGAUGACAGGUUAAUUAGCGAAAAAUUAUCCUCUGGGUUUUAUUAAUUCUUGCUGGGCAACCACUUGCCCACUAGGCAGCGAGGAAAGGGACUAGGCAGCGAGGAAAGGGGGAGGAAGGGGAGGAGAAAGCAAUGCCUAAAGUCAGCAGUGGUAGCCGAGGAAAUGAUUGUUUGAUAAUGCACCAUGACUUUAUUCUUUUACCCUGGUGAAUUACUCCACUGAUGAUGCGUUCUUGAUUAGGUCAUGCUGACUUUUGUACUAUUACUCUUGACAACUGUAGAAUAAAGUGGCGAUCCGAUGUUCAUCGGGAUGAUAGGGGAAGAAAACUCUGUUUGGGUGUGGUACGGAUAUAGAAAGCACUUGCAGUGCAUGCAGCGUUGUGAGGGGGAGACUUCGCUGCGUCGCUCGCACGUGCUCUGGCCAAGAUUCGGCUAACAGGGGGGAGGAAUGUGGAGCUGGAUCUGCUUGUGGAGUGUACCACGCGCGCUCUCGUGUAUCGCGAUCAUGCAUUGCAUGCCGCCCAAUCGAUUCCGUUGCUCAGGUUCGUGCCAACCGCCGACGUCGAGCUCCAUUUGAUUUGAGCAUACCACACGGACCCACCCCAACUGUCCGGUCAUGGUGCAUGCACCAGGGAAUUCUUUGGGUGUUCUCCAGUUUUGGAUUAGUUCUAGGGUCUAUCUAUGAAAUAUGAAUGCGCUUCUAGAGUAAACUUAACCGGUUUGUUAAUUACAGUAAUAUAAGGGCAUGUAUAAUAAUGGCAUAUGGAUACAUAUG
rnacentral:lncRNA from 1 species